rnacentral:rRNA from 1 species
GUUAGUGGCAGACGGGUGAGUAAUGCGUAGGAAUCUACCUAGUAGUAUGGAAUAGCCAUUAGAAAUGAUGGGUAAUACUGUAUAAUCCCUGCGGGGGAAAGAUUUAUCGCUAUUAGAUGAGCCUACGUUAGAUUAGCUAGUUGGUAAGGUAAUGGCUUACCAAGGCUAUGAUCUAUAGCUGGUCUGAGAGGACGAUCAGCCACACUGGAACUGAGAUACGGUCCAGACUCCUACGGGAGGCAGCAGUGGGGAAUAUUGGACAAUGGGCGAAAGCCUGAUCCAGCUAUGCCGCGUGAGUGAAGAAGGCCUUCGGGUUGUAAAACUCUUUCAAUAGGGAAGAUAAUGACGGUACCUAUAA